UGAUAUAAUGGCAUAUCUUCAUUAAUAUUUGGUAGCAACUGGAUUGCCACAAAAACAUGUGAGGACCCUUUUUCUGUUGUAUUGUCAUUCUUUUACACCGGAAAAAUUACUCUGCUGUUUUCUAAGAGUCAAUCCUGGAGUGACGUGAGUAGCAGAAUGCCAAGUCUAUGAGUCACGUGAUAACUACUGGACAUGCACAUGAGAAUAUGACGAGGAUGGUGCCUUAGAAUGGGGAUUCUCAAUCUGAGGUAACAAUGGGAACAAUUACCAUAUAACUAUUCAAGUGUUUAACUAGCCAGUAUUUUAAAAAAUACCUACUACAUCCUCAGCAUAGUCACUGAAGAAAACUAGGGAUCCAAGAAAAUCAUACCAUUUAAAAAUAAUUGGUAA
rnacentral:lncRNA from 10 species